rnacentral:lncRNA from 13 species
ACUGUGUGUCCCCGUAUUGCAGGCCCAGGUCCAGUUCUCUCCAGGAUAUCAGCGAGCACCUCUGAGGAGGAUGUUCUCUGUCCUACUCCACCUCUCCCCCCAGGACCUGAUUCUCAGUAUGAGAGAAUCGGAGGCCAAACAGGGGCUUCGUUUUUACAGACCCUGAUCCACCUCCUGAAGGGGAACAUCGGUACGGGGCUGCUAGGUCUACCUCUGGCUGUCAGGAACGCAGGCCUUGUGUUAGGACCUCUGAGUCUGUUUGCCAUGGGGAUAAUAGCAGUCCACUGUAUGAACCUGCUUGUAAUCUGUUCCCACCACCUCAGUGUAAAGUUGAACAAGCCCUUUCUGGACUAUGGCGAUGCUGUGCAGUAUGGUAUGGAGAAUGUCUCGUGGCUGAGAAGGCACUCAAUAUGGGGGAGGCGGAUAGUGAACGUGUUUUUGAUCAUCACCCAGCUGGGUUUCUGCUGUGUCUACUUCGUCUUCCUCAGUGACAAUAUCAAACAGGUAGGGGGACAUGGUGUCAUGUUCAUAUGUGUACCAAUCAAAAGUUUUGACACACCUAUUCAUUCCAGGAUCUUUCUUUAUUUUGACUAUUUCCUACAUUACUAUCCUCUCUUCUUUGGAACGGCCAUCUUUGCUUUCGAGGGGAUAGGAGUGGUCCUGCCCCUGGAGAACAAGAUGCAGAAGCCUCAGAGUUUCAAUAUGGUUCUAUAUCUGGGAAUGGGCAUCGUCACCUUCCUCUAUAUCAGCUUGGGGACCAUAGGGUACAUCACCUUUGGAGAGGCCAUAGGGGGAAGUAUCACCCUUAACUUACCCAACUGCUGGAUGUAUCAGAUUGUAAAGCUGCUCUACUGUUUCGGUAUCUACAUCACCUUUGCCCUUCAGUUCUACGUGCCAGCUGAGAUCCUGAUUCCUCCGGUGGUGUCCCGUGUCUCAGAGAGAUGGAAACUGCCGGUAGAUCUUCUGAUCCGCGCUGCGCUCGUUGUUUUUACCUGUGUCCUGGCCAUAUUGAUCCCCCAGCUGGACCUGGUCAUCUCUUUAGUGGGGUCCAUCAGCAGCAGUUUCCUGGCUCUCAUCUUCCCUCCACUCCUCCAGAUCCUCACCUACCACAACGAAGGUCUGUCUCCCUGGGUCAUCGUCAAGAACACCCUGAUCUCUGUCAUCGGCUUCAUCGGCUUCAUCACCGGCACCUAUAUAUCCAUCACAGAGAUCAUCAAACGCAACGGCAGACAUGACAAUCUGGAUGUGACAUUCUUCCAGGUCCAGUGAGAGAUUUAGUGAGGAAGAGGAGGAUAUCUUGACAGUGGUUUGUCUGGCAAACAGUGGAGGCUGGUGGGUGGAGAAAUCUGAGG